UGAGUAACCUGCCCUUAACUCUGGGAUAAGCCUGGGAAACUGGGUCUAAUACCGGAUAUGACUCCUCAUCGCAUGGUGGGGGGUGGAAAGCUUUAUUGUGGUUUUGGAUGGACUCGCGGCCUAUCAGCUUGUUGGUGAGGUAAUGGCCCACCAAGGCGACGACGGGUAGCCGGCCUGAGAGGGUGACCGGCCACACUGGGACUGAGACACGGCCCAGACUCCUACGGGAGGCAG
rnacentral:rRNA from 1 species